UACAGAGGAUGCAAGCGUUAUCCGGAAUGAUUGGGCGUAAAGCGUUUGUAGGCGGCUUUUUAAGUCCGCCGUCAAAUCCCAGGGCUCAACUCUGGACAGGCGGUGGAAACUAGCAAGCUGGAGUACGGUAGGGGCAGAGGGAAUUUCCGGUGGAGCGGUGAAAUGCGUAGAGAUCGGAAAGAACACCAACGGCGAAAGCACUCUGCUGGGCCGACACUGACACUGAGAGACGAAAGCUAGGGGAGCGAAUGGG
rnacentral:rRNA from 1 species